GACGAACGCUGGCGGCGUGCCUAAUACAUGCAAGUCGAGCGAAGUUUUUCUGGUGCUUGCACCGGAAAAACUUAGCGGCGAACGGGUGAGUAACACGUAAAGAACCUGCCUCAUAGACUGGGACAACUAUUGGAAACGAUAGCUAAUACCGGAUAAUAGCAUUAACUGCAUGGUUGAUGUUUAAAAGUUGGUUUUGCUAACACUAUGAGAUGGCUUUGCGGUGCAUUAGCUAGUUGGUGGGGUAAAGGCCUACCAAGGCGACGAUGCAUAGCCGACCUGAGAGGGUGAACGGCCACACUGGGACUGAGACCAGGCCCAGACUCCUUCGGGAGGCAGCAGUAGGGAAUCUUCCGGAAUGGGCGAAAGCCGGACGGGGCAACGCCGCGUGAGUGAAGAAGGAUUUCGGUUCGUAAAGCUCUGUUGUUAGGGAAGAAUGAUUGUGUAGUAACUAUACACAGUAGAGAAGGUACCUAACCAGAAAGCCACGGCUAACUACGUG
rnacentral:rRNA from 1 species